UCCCACUCCAGCUUUCCUGUAUCCAUCUGCCAGUGCCGAGUGUUGUGUGUGCUGGUAGGGAGCCAUAUCUUCCAACGUUCUUCUAAUGCUCUUUAUGGGUAUUGAGUUCUUUUAAGUGUGCAAAAUAGUUGGUUCUUGGAUUGCCAGAAGAUUGAUUUUUCAAAACAAAAUUGCCCAAGGAUUAUUUUUAAAUCUUUUGAAACUGCUGAAUGAACCGUAAAAUAUUUUCAAAGAA